rnacentral:tRNA from 2 species
UUCAUAAUAAGCUAAAAAAGCUUUUGAAUUCAUAAUUCAAAAAU